rnacentral:rRNA from 1 species
UGGGAGGUAAAUUUCUCCUAAGGCUAAAUAACGGCGAGAGACCGAUAGCGAACAAGUACCGUGAGGGAAAGAUGAAAAGUACUUUGAAAAGAGAGUUAAACAGUACGUGAAAUUGUUGAAAGGGAAACGAUUGAAGCCAGUCGUACCAGCGGAUAAUCAACCUUUAGAUGCGAUUUUAUGGAGUGUGAGGAGCUAAUCGCCUUCACGCCUGUAUAUUCGUAUACUUGGGGUGUACUUAUUCGUGUGGUAAGUUAACAUCAAUUUUGGUUGUCAUAAAAUGAUUGGAGGAAUGUAGCUUCGAUCUUGUAUUGAAGUGUUAUAGCCUUCGGUAGAUGUGACGAUCGGGAUUGAGGAUUGCAACGGAUACCCUUCGGGGCUACCUGUCUGAUCUCUGAUUGUUGCUCUGGUGCUGAAAGCUUGCUUAUAGUAUCAAAGUCGAUGGUUAAUAGGUUAGAAUGGGUUAAAUUCGUUAAGGAUGUUGACGUAAUGGCUUUAAACGACCCGUCUUGAAACACGGACCAAGGAGUCUAACAUAUAUGCGAGUGUUAGGGUAAUUAAACCCUUACGCGUAAUGAAAGUAAUUUUGGUGGGAUCACUUUUGUGCACCAUCGACC